rnacentral:rRNA from 1 species
GAUGAAGGUUUUCGGAUCGUAAAGCUCUGUUGUUAGGGAAGAACAAGUGCAAGAGUAACUGCUUGCACCUUGACGGUACCUAACCAGAAAGCCACGGCUAACUACGUGCCAGCAGCCGCGGUAAUACGUAGGUGGCAAGCGUUGUCCGGAAUUAUUGGGCGUAAAGGGCUCGCAGGCGGUUUCUUAAGUCUGAUGUGAAAGCCCCCGGCUCAACCGGGGAGGGUCAUUGGAAACUGGGAAACUUGAGUGCAGAAGAGGAGAGUGGAAUUCCACGUGUAGCGGUGAAAUGCGUAGAGAUGUGGAGGAACACCAGUGGCGAAGGCGACUCUCUGGUCUGUAACUGACGCUGAGGAGCGAAAGCGUGGGGAGCGAACAGGAUUAGAUACCCUGGUAGUCCACGCCGUAAACGAUGAGUGCUAAGUGUUAGGGGGUUUCCGCCCCUUAGUGCUGCAGCUAACGCAUUAAGCACUCCGCCUGGGGAGUACGGUCGCAAGACUGAAACUCAAAGGAAUUGACGGGGGCCCGCACAAGCGGUGGAGCAUGUGGUUUAAUUCGAAGCAACGCGAAGAACCUUACCAGGUCUUGACAUCCUCUGACAACCCUAGAGAUAGGGCUUUCCCUUCGGGGACAGAGUGACAGGUGGUGCAUGGUUGUCGUCAGCUCG